rnacentral:rRNA from 1 species
UACGUAGGGGGCAAGCGUUGUCCGGAUUUAUUGGGCGUAAAGAGCGUGUAGGCGGCCAGACAGGUCCGUUGUGAAAACUCGAGGCUCAACCUCGAGACGCCGAUGGAAACCGUCUGGCUAGAGUCCGGAAGAGGAGAGUGGAAUUCCUGGUGUAGCGGUGAAAUGCGCAGAUAUCAGGAAGAACACCCGUGGCUAAGGCGGCUCUCUAGUACGGUACUGACGCUGAGACGCGAAAGCGUGGGGAGCGAACAGGG